rnacentral:lncRNA from 1 species
AGAAAACAGCCUUAACCAACUUGAGGUGGGACCUGGGACAUGCCCUCCCUCGGGUAGAUUCGUUGCUUCCCGGAUCUCAUUUUACUUCACAUUUCUUAUGGCACAGAGAACAGACAACCCUCCCAAAGUCUUCAAAUAUGAAAUGCUAUUGUCAAGAUUGGCAGGUGGUGACUUCCUUUGUAAUACUAAAAUACUAAAAUACUCAGACAAUGGAGGAUGGGUUAGACCCAAUGCAUGGCAAAACCAAAGGCCUGGGUGCACCGUUGUGUAUGCUGCGGGAGCUUUUUAUUUCUGACGGUUUGAUGUGGCUGUAGAAAGUCAGCCACUGAGUAGCUGUUGUGUUAUCGCCCUUCUGUUGUAAACAUUAGGAAAUUAAAGCAGUUACACCCAGCAUUGCCUGCUUCAGUAAGAGGCGAAAACAACGACUGAGAGCUUCACAUAAUCACCCCAAAGCCCAAGCUGAAUUUGUGGUCUGUGUAAUCAGAUCUGUGGAUGGUAGCGUUGGGUAGCCAGCACCCCAUGGGAGCUCACGCCCCUGUUCAUUAUCGCCUUUCCAUUGUUUUCUGUAAUCCUUGUCUGCAAUGAAACGACUUUAUCACUUGUGGAGUUUGGAAAGCUUUGAGUUUGAAUGUUGGGAUUGUCAUGAGAAUUCAAUGUAGUUCAUCUGUAUUGAACAUGAAGGCUUUAAGUGUG